rnacentral:rRNA from 1 species
GACGAACGCUGGCGGCGUGCUUAACACAUGCAAGUCGAACGGAAAGGCCCUGCUUGCAGGGUACUCGAGUGGCGAACGGGUGAGUAACACGUGGGUGAUCUGCCCUGCACUUCGGGAUAAGCCUGGGAAACUGGGUCUAAUACCGGAUAGGAGCCAUUUUUAGUGUGAUGGUUGGAAAGUUUUUUCGGUGUAGGAUGAGCUCGCGGCCUAUCAGCUUGUUGGUGGGGUAAUGGCCUACCAAGGCGGCGACGGGUAGCCGGCCUGAGAGGGUGGACGGCCACAUUGGGACUGAGAUACGGCCCAGACUCCUACGGGAGGCAGCAGUGGGGAAUAUUGCACAAUGGGCGCAAGCCUGAUGCAGCGACGCCGCGUAGGGGAUGACGGCCUUCGGGUUGUAAACUCCUUUCGCUAGGGACGAAGCUUUUUGUGACGGUACCUAGAUAAGAAGCACCGGCUAACUACGUG